UCCCAAAUACAGAAACUGCAAGAACGUGAUUACUUCAGAUAUUACAAGGUCAACCUGAAGAGACCGUGCCCAUUUUGGGCUGAUGACGGCCAUUGUUCUAUCAAAGAUUGUCAUGUAGAGCCUUGUCCUGAGAGCAAAAUACCUGUCGGAAUUAAGGCUGGGAGCUCUAAUAAA